rnacentral:lncRNA from 1 species
GGAAAACAUCCACCUUCUGUAUAAGGUGAUCAAAUACUUGAAUUCCUUUGCUACUGAAAUGGGCUGCUCAGGUCAGUCGCGGCAAACCUCUUGUGCAGUAAAACUCUCUCACACUGUAUUUGGAUUUUGAAUCAAUAACUGCCCUGUAGCCAGGGUUACUAUGACGCAUUAGCAAAGCCAGGGGAGAAACAACAGCAGAGCUGAAGUUGAGCCAGUGGUGGCAUUCUUGUUGAAACACCUUAUAAGCCUUAAAUGCUUGAAAAUCUUCUACUUGCAUUUCUUCCUCCUCAGGAGAAAGAGAAGGAGCUUUUUGCAUGACCACUGAGUGCAGGGGGAAGGAUAAUGCAAAAAGACCAGCGCAUUGGAUGCCUCAAUAUUGCAUGAGGUAGAAAGAGGUAAUAUGUGUCUUUGAGCUUGACUGAAUGGAGACUCACCC